rnacentral:rRNA from 1 species
CCCUUAGAUGUUCUGGGCUGCACGCGCGCUACACUGAAGCUAUCAACACGUUUUCCCUCCCUGAGAAGGGCGGGUAACCUUUUGAAUCAGCUUCGUGGUAGGGAUCGGGGCUUGCAAUUGUUCCCCGUGAACCAGGAAUUCCUAGUAGACGCGAGUCAUAAGCUCGCAUCGAUUAAGUCCCUGCCCUUUGUACACACCGCCCGUCGCUACUACCGAUUGAACGUUUUAGUGAGGCAUUUGGACCGACGCAUCUCAGUUUAACCGCUGGUUUGUGUUGGAAAGACUUCCAAACUUGAGCGUCUAGAGGAAGUAAAAGUCGUAACA